rnacentral:rRNA from 1 species
UCAGGACGAACGCUGGCGGCGUGCCUAAUACAUGCAAGUCGAACGGUCUUUCUAUGGAAGCUUGCCUCCACUGAGAAGAUAGUGGCGAACGGGUGAGUAACACGUGGGUAACCUGCCCAUAAGAGGGGGAUAACAUCCGGAAACGGGUGCUAAUACCGCAUAGUUUUCUUGAUCGCAUGAUCGGGAAAGGAAAGACGGCCUUUGUGCUGUCGCUUAUGGAUGGACCCGCGGCGUAUUAGUUAGUUGGUGAGGUAACGGCUCACCAAGACGAUGAUACGUAGCCGACCUGAGAGGGUGAUCGGCCACAUUGGGACUGAGACACGGCCCAAACUCCUACGGGAGGCAGCAGUAGGGAAUCUUCCGCAAUGGACGAAAGUCUGACGGAGCAACGCCGCGUGAGUGAAGAAAAGGGUUUUCGGAUCGUAAAACUCUGUUGUCAGAGAAGAACAAGUUGGAGAGUAACUGCUCCAGCCUUGACGGUAUCUGACCAGAAAGCCACGGCUAACUACGUGCCAGCAGCCGC